rfam:Ailuropoda melanoleuca scaffold1720_33, whole genome shotgun sequence.
GCCUGGGUGGCACAGCGGUUGAGCGUCUGCCUUCGGCUCAGGGCGUGAUCCUGGCGUUGUGGGAUCGAGCCCCACAUCAGGCU